AGAGUGAAGCGGGAACAGCUCAAAUUUGAAAUCUGGCCUUCGGGUCCGAAUUGUAAUUUGUAGAGGAUGCUUUUGGUUAGGUACUUUCCGAGUUCCCUGGAACGGGACGCCUUAGAGGGUGAGAGCCCCGUACGGUUGGAUACCGAGCCUUUGUAAAGCUCCUUCGACGAGUCGAGUAGUUUGGGAAUGCUGCUCUAAAUGGGAGGUAAAUUUCUUCUAAAGCUAAAUACUGGCCAGAGACCGAUAGCGCACAAGUAGAGUGAUCGAAAGAUGAAAAGCACUUUGAAAAGAGGGUUAAAUAGCACGUGAAAUUGUUGAAAGGGAAGCGUUUAUGACCAGACUUUUUCCAGGCGGAUCAUCCGGUGUUCUCACCGGUGCACUUCGUCUGGUUGAGGCCAGCAUCGGUUUUCGUGGUGGGAUAAAAGUAGUAGGAAUGUGACUCCUCCGGGAGUGUUAUAGCCUAUUGUAUAAUACCGCCAUGGGGACCGAGGUUCGCGCAUCUGCAAGGAUGCUGGCGUAAUGGUCAUCAACGACCCGUCUUGAAACACGGACCAAGGAGUCGAACAUUUGUGCGAGUGUUUGGGUGUUAAACCCUCACGCGUAAUGAAAGUGAACGGAGGUGAGAGCCCUUACGGGUGCAUCAUCGACCGAUCCUGAUGUUUUCGGAUGGAUUUGAGUAAGAGCAUAACUGUUCGGACCCGAAAGAUGGUGAACUAUGCGUGGAUAGGGUGAAGCCAGAGGAAACUCUGGUGGAGGCUCGCAGCGGUUCUGACGUGCAAAUCGAUCGUCAAAUCUGCGCAUGGGGGGCGAAAGACUAAUCGAACCAUCUAGUAGCUGGUUACCG
rnacentral:rRNA from 1 species